UAGGGAAUCUUCCACAAUGGACGCAAGUCUGAUGGAGCAACGCCGCGUGAGUGAAGAAGGUCUUCGGAUCGUAAAACUCUGUUGUUAGAGAAGAACACGAGUGAGAGUAACUGUUCAUUCGAUGACGGUAUCUAACCAGCAAGUCACGGCUAACUACGUGCCAGCAGCCGCGGUAAUACGUAGGUGGCAAGCGUUGUCCGGAUUUAUUGGGCGUAAAGGGAACGCAGGCGGUCUUUUAAGUCUGAUGUGAAAGCCUUCGGCUUAACCGGAGUAGUGCAUUGGAAACUGGAAGACUUGAGUGCAGAAGAGGAGAGUGGAACUCCAUGUGUAGCGGUGAAAUGCGUAGAUAUAUGGAAGAACAUCAGUGGCGAAAGCGGCUCUCUGGUCUGUAACUGACGCUGAGGUUCGAAAGCGUGGGUAGCAAACAGGAUUAGAUACCCUGGUAGUCCACGCCGUAAACGAUGAAUGCUAGGUGUUGGAGGGUUUCCGCCCUUCAGUGCCGCAGCUAACGCAAUAAGCAUUCCGCCUGGGGAGUACGACCGCAAGGUUG
rnacentral:rRNA from 1 species